rnacentral:rRNA from 1 species
UAGGGAAUCUUCCGCAAUGGACGCAAGUCUGACGGAGCAACGCCGCGUGAGUGAAGAAGGAUUUCGGUUCGUAAAACUCUGUUGUUAGAGAAGAACAGCGCAUAGAGUAACUGUUAUGCGUGUGACGGUAUCUAACCAGAAAGCCACGGCUAACUACGUGCCAGCAGCCGCGGUAAUACGUAGGUGGCAAGCGUUGUCCGGAUUUAUUGGGCGUAAAGCGAGCGCAGGCGAUCAAUUAAGUCUGAUGUGAAAGCCCCCGGCUCAACCGGGGAGGGUCAUUGGAAACUGGUUGACUUGAGUGCAGAAGAGGAGAGUGGAAUUCCAUGUGUAGCGGUGAAAUGCGUAGAUAUAUGGAGGAACACCAGUGGCGAAGGCGACUCUCUGGUCUGUAACUGACGCUGAGGCUCGAAAGCGUGGGUAGCAAACAGG